rnacentral:rRNA from 1 species
AUUGAACGCUGGCGGCAGGCCUAACACAUGCAAGUCGAGCGGAUGAAUGGAGCUUGCUCCUGGAUUCAGCGGCGGACGGGUGAGUCAUGCCUAGGAAUCUGCCUGGUAGUGGGGGAUAACGUCCGGAAACGGGCGCUAAUACCUCAUACGUCCUGAGGGAGAAAGUGGGGGAUCUUCGGACCUCACGCUAUCAGAUGAGCCUAGGUCGGAUUAGCUUGUUGGUGGGGUAAAGGCCUACCAACGCGACGAUCCGUAACUGGUCUGAGAGGAUGAUCAGUCACACUGGAACUGAGACACGGUCCAGACUCCUACGGGAGGCAGCAGUGGGGAAUAUUCGACAAUGGGCGAAAGCCUGAUCCAGCCAUGCCGCGUGUGUGAAGCAGGUCUUCGGAUUGUAAAGCACUUUAAGUUGGGAGGAAGGGCAGUAAGUUAAUACCUUGCUGUUUUGACGUUACCAACAGAAUAAGCACCGGCUAACUUCGUG